rnacentral:lncRNA from 1 species
UGCAAACUUCAUUAGAAAUUUGAAUUGAGAUCAGUUUUGAAAUAAGGGAAAGGGGGAUGUGAAAAAAAAAUUGGAGGGUCAAUUUUUUUCAUUUCAGAUUUCAUAAAUAAAAAGAAAAUUUUUUCAAACAUUUUUUUGAGAGGAUUAAUAUUCAACAGCAUAGUGAAUUGCUCAAAGGCAAACAUUUUUUAAGUUCAUUAGACCACAUUCAUUCGUGUCGAAACCUAUGCUGUGUCAACUAUUUAAUCACAAUCCAAAUUUAGAGCUGAAUCCAGCUUGAAUGUUGUGUCCAUACUUGCCCCA